rnacentral:lncRNA from 1 species
GUGAUCCUUCCACCUCGGCCUCCCAAAGUGCUGAGUUUACAGGCGUGAGCCACUGUCCCUGGCCAAGCAUCAUUGAAUUUGAGGGGCUGAAACUUGGAUCCUGCAACCCAUCUUCAACCAAGUAAAAGACAAGCCCCUUCACAGCUUAUUACUCAAGUAGUCUGCGGAUCUUCAGAGAGGCUGGAAGAAGCUAGUUGUACCAAAGGGACCAAAACUUGGUCUACAAGAUUCCCUGGUCAUCUACAUGAUGAAUAAACUUCAAAUAGGUAACUUUCACAUCCAGUUCUCACAGCAUCAAGUAAUUCCUGAGUGCCUACGAGAUAGCCACGAUUCCUGUUUAUAGUGUACUUGGGGGAAUACAGACAUUAAAAAAAUAGAAGUGUGAUGAGAGUUACUAAAGAAAAAGCUGGCCGGGCAUGGUGGCUCACGCCUAUAAUCCCAGAAGUUUGGGAGGCCGUGGGCAGAUAGCUUGAGGC